rnacentral:rRNA from 1 species
UGGGGAAUAUUGGACAAUGGGCGAAAGCCUGAUCCAGCAAUGCCGCGUGAGUGGUGAAGGCCUUAGGGUUGUAAAGCUCUUUUACCAGGGAUGAUAAUGACAGUACCUGGAGAAUAAGCUCCGGCUAACUCCGUGCCAGCAGCCGCGGUAAUACGGAGGGAGCUAGCGUUGUUCGGAAUUACUGGGCGUAAAGCGCGCGUAGGCGGUUGCUCAAGUCAGAGGUGAAAGCCCGGGGCUCAACCCCGGAACUGCCUUUGAAACUAGGUGACUAGAAUCUUGGAGAGGUCAGUGGAAUUCCGAGUGUAGAGGUGAAAUUCGUAGAUAUUCGGAAGAACACCAGUGGCGAAGGCGACUGACUGGACAAGUAUUGACGCUGAGGUGCGAAAGCGUGGGGAGCAAGCAGGAUUAGAUACCCUGGUAGUCCACGCCGUAAACGAUGAUAACUAGCUGUCCGGGUACUUGGUACUUGGGUGGCGCAGCUAACGCAUUAAGUUAUCCGCCUGGGGAGUACGGUCGCAAGAUUA